GAUGAACGCUGGCGGCGUGCCUAACACAUGCAAGUCGAGCGGGAUUCAUGAGGACGAAACUUCGGUCUAGAAAUCAUGAUGAGAGCGGCGGACGGGUGAGUAACGCGUAGGCAACCUGCCCUUAGCACAGGGAUAGCCUCGGGAAACCGGGAUUAAAACCUGAUAAUGCCAAACAGCCACAUGGCUGUUUGGCCAAAGACUUAUCGGCUAAGGAUGGGCCUGCGUCUGAUUAGUUAGUUGGUGGGGUAACGGCCUACAAAGACGACGAUCAGAGGCCGACCUGAGAGGGUGAUCGGCCACAUUGGAACUGAGACACGGUCCAAACUCCUACGGGAGGCAGCAGUGGGGAAUAUUGCACAAUGGGCGAAAGCCUGAUGCAGCAACGCCGCGUGAGCGAUGAAGGCCUUUGGGUCGUAAAGCUCUGUCCUGGGGGACGAACACAAUGACGGUACCCUUGGAGGAAGCCCCGGCUAACUACGUGCCAGCCGCCGCCGUAAAAC
rnacentral:rRNA from 1 species